AAUCCGUUGUAGUCUAGUUGGUUAGGAUACUCGGCUCUCACCCGAGCGACCCGGGUUCAAGUCCCGGCAACGGAAGUAUAUUUUUUCACAUUUUCGCAUGAAAGGAAGAGAACCUUAUAGCAAUCCUAGACUCCGCCUCCGAUUCCAAACACACACCAGACGCCAACGAUGAUAGGAUUGGAUUUCUCGAAGCAGCUUGCAGCUCUUGUAUUGUAACGAAACUCUUACAACAAAGGAAUUUCCUUUCUUUUGUUUCCUUCAUUUUAGAGAUUUAGGAAUUGCAAUUAUCGUUACUGUUAUGGAAUUUGUGUUCUGUGAACCAAACUGUGCGAGGCGGUGUUUCAAAUUCCGAGGGCCGGGAAAUCCUUGGAAUUGAUUACUCAAAGUUUCCGUCUUCUAAAUGAGUUAGAUAACCGUUAUCCUGGCGUGUAUUUGUCGGAUAAAGAAGCAUCUCGGCCAGCGGAGGUAUUAAGUUCUUCUGCUUCUAUCCUGGCCUCGUCUCGCGAGAGCGGAGCUGGCGGUACUAGUAUCAUCAGACCGCUUAACUCACUGAAUGAUUGCAACGCUGGAUUACUUGUGUGCUGGAAUUUUAUUUUAUUUGAUUGGCUCUGCUAUUCACGGGGUUUGCUCAAAUGGCUAAUGAGGGAAACCUUCAAGCAUUAGAAAUGGGGUUUAAAUUAUAUCAAGCUUGGAACAUUCACUUUGGACACCCAAUGAGCGUUGUUCUUACGUGCUUUUACUGAGGAACAUGGUGCUGUUCCAAUAUCUUGUCAAUGCUCUUGAAGGAGAUUUUGUACGACGUAACAGGGUGCAUGGAGAAACCAUGAACUGGACCCGUCUAAGGGAGUUCUUGCUCCUUAUGGCUAUUGUUCUUAUUGAGUUUUGUACUUCGUUGUUUAUGAUGGUGUAUGGCCUUAAUUGAUUCGAUUUCAAGAAAAGCAAAACUACAGAGGCUUGAUGAAAGAUUGCUUGGGCGGCAUGUGUGGAUUAUUUGAAGUUUCUGCGGGAAUCAGUGAGAAUUUAGAACCUCCUGAUAAUUCUGCAGCAAAACUAUCUCACAAUGGCAAUACUGCUUCAGCGUUUGCAACCAGAGCUGAUGAUGGUGUGAGAUUUUAGUCACUGAACUCUGCCCCAGAAGAUAGGCAUUAAUCAUGACAAUAACCUUGAAACCGUCCGAAGCAUCAAAGUAAUGGAAUGGGCCUCAAAGUAAAAAGAAGCUGCACAAAAAGGGUAGGACAAGGAUAGAAAGUAGUCAUCACUGCUCCGAAUACUCCAUCUAAACAAAAACAAAGGGGAAUUCAGGAAGAUAAUGGAUAACACAAUGAAUUCUGAAGCAAUUUCAGUAUCAAGAACAUGGAAAAGAGUGAACUAGUUCUAGCAAAACACAUCUAUUGUUCAUGCAAUAAAUUUCAAACUGCAUGUAUUUCAUGAUUACGAGGGGACUUCUGUCCAC